UCACUACUUGCGUAGGCAGUCUUCUUAGAGUGCUCAGCAUUACCUGAUGGCAACUAAGAACGAGGGUUGCGCUCGUUGCGGGACUUAACCCAACACCUCACGGCACGAGCUGACGACAGCCAUGCACCACCUGUUCACGGCCCCGAAGGACACGGGCUUUCACCCGCUUUACCGUGAAUGUCAAGCCCAGGUAAGGUUCUUCGCGUUGCAUCGAAUUAAGCCACACGCUCCGCCGCUUGUGCGGGCCCCCGUCAAUUUCUUUGAGUUUUAGCCUUGCGGCCGUAGUCCCCAGGCGGCGGACUUAAUGCGUUAGCUGCGGCGCCGAGGGGGUCGAUACCCCCGACACCUAGUCCGCAUCGUUUACGGCGUGGACUAC
rnacentral:misc_RNA from 1 species